GCUCACUUCGGCAGGACAUAUACUAAAACUGAAACAAUACAGAGUAGAUGAGCAUGGCCCCUGUGCCAGGAUGACACGAAAUUUGUGAAGCAUCCCAUAUUGAA